UUCGAGGUUCAACAAAAACCGAAGCCCUUGUUCGGUUGUUCCCUUGUGGGAGCUUCGUCCGUACAUCACCGAGAAAAUGGAUGUGUCCCUUCGAGUCCAAAGACUCGAAAAUCUUCCUUCAUCCAUUGAAUUCGAGUCUCUCACCGAAUCCCGAAAUGUUCCUGCUGUAUUUACUGGAUGCAUCAAGGACUGGAAAGCCUUGGCUAAGUGGAAUCCAUCGAAUGGUGGCCUCGACUAUUUGCAGGAAUGGGUAGGGUCGUGUACUGUGGAGGCAAUGCUAACAAGAUCCGCGCCUGUCUUUUAUGGUGAUCUGAGAAGUCACGAGAGGGUUCCAUUACCGUUUUCUACCUUCAUUGAUUAUUGUAAGCAACGGAAGCAAAAGACAGAUUGUGGUACUGACAGCGAGCCUAAAGAAGAUGCUUCUGAACAAAUCUAUUUAGCGCAGGUACCGAUUAUGAAUGCUGACAAUGAGGAAAGGGUUCAGUUGGCAUCUCUGAGGGAAGAUAUUGAAGUGCCUGUAUUUUUGGAGAGGAGAGUAAUUGCUUCUAUCAACCUGUGGAUGAACAAUGCUAACUCUAGAUCAAGUACUCACUAUGAUCCUCACCACAACCUUCUAUGCAUAGUUGCUGGCUGCAAACAAGUUAUCUUAUGGCCUCCUUCUUCUAGCCCCAUGUUAUACCCAAAGCCAAUAUAUGGGGAGGCCUCAAAUCAUAGUUCUGUUGGUUUAGAAAAUCCUGAUUUUUCAAUUUAUCCGAGAGCAAAAUGCUCCAUGGAGUACUCGCAGAGGGUUGUUCUUCAUGCAGGUGAUGCACUUUUCAUUCCUGAAGGCUGGUUCCACCAAGUAGAUAGUGAUGAUUUGACCAUUGCUAUUAACUUUUGGUGGCAGUCAAACAUGAUGUCUCGCAUGUCAGAAGACUCAGAACAUAUGGAUGCAUAUUAUUUGCGCAGAAUAUUGAGAAGAUUGACAGACAAAGAGAUGGACCAUGUGCUAAGUAAGAUGCCUUCUACUGGAAUGGGGAAAAUAAAGAGGCAAUUAACCAAGCUGCCCAGCAAUGGAAAAGUAGAUCAUCUUGAGAAUGAAUUGGAUCAGGCGUUUGAGAAGACAAUUUUGAAAGGGAAAGAACUGCAGCAUGGGAAUAUGCUGCAUGAGCUGGAACCUGUUGCUCUCCAGGUGCUUCAUGAACUUGUUUCUCUGGUUCAUGACCAUGUUAAGGUUUCUGAUCAGUGUCAACCAGCACAAUCCACUUCAGUAAAUGAUUCUGAUUCCGGAGUGAAAGGUGAAAACAAGAAAGUUGUGACAGCAAAUUUAUUUCAUUUGGAAGAUGAUCGGGUUGCUAAAAUUCUUUGGACCCUUGAAUCAAGUGUGCUGCAGCAUGUAUUUCUUAAUAUGGCGCACAACUUCCCAAGAACUUUAGAGGCUCUAAUACUUCAUAUGCUUUCACCGGUGGGGGCAGAAGUUCUUACACGGAAAUUUGAUGAGAUGGAUCAACAGAUCUCUGAGGAAGAUCGGAAUAAAUUCUACCAGGCCUUUUAUGGUGCAUUUGAUGAUCAGUUUACUGCAAUGGACGCCAUUCUAAAUGGCAAAGAGUCAUUUGCCCUCCAGGCAUUCAAGAACGUGUUGGAUAAAUAUAUGGGGGUAAACUUAGAUGGACCAAAGUCAGGGAUUAAAUGAUUCUUGUAACAACUUUCCCGGCCAGUAACUCAGGAGAGCAUCUCAUUCAUGUUCACAGAUGUUUAAGGAGAGAAGGCUACAAUGAGGAGAAAUUGGUGGUGGACCCAUUACACAUUGCCAGUGGCCUCGUUCAAAAUUAGACACCCUUGGGUUAUGGCUAGAAGUAUGGAGUUUGUGAUGGAAAAGGCUAUUAAUAAUUAGUAACUUUGUGAAAAUCUACCUGUGUUUGUUUAAUGUGUUAUUAUGUGGUAAUCCUCUCUUGAAGUUUGUGGUAAAGGCUAAAGAGAGUUCUGUAUGGGGAUUUGAGACUGAAGGGGAAAAGAAAAAGGGGGAGAAAAGCAUGAAAAAGAAGGUUUGGUAAUUAUUAGGGUUGGAAGGGAGAACGAGGCAAAAGGGAAGGUUUCAUGAAUUGAGAUUCCCUGACGGGGAAGAUGACAUAUGAAAGUGUUCUUGGGAGAGGAAGAGGGUGGGAGGG